CUCUCUCUCUCUCUCUCUGAUUCUGUCUUGCUAGUGAGCUUCAAAGCUGAACCCAAGCCACACUCUCUCUUUCUCAAUCGAGAUAGUGAUAGUUUACUUCUUUUCCUUUCCUUUCUUUGUUUCCGUCUUUAGUUCUCUCUCUUUCUCUCUGCGCUCUUUCAUGGCGAUCUCGAAGAACGUGUUGCUUUAUUUCGGGGCUUAUUUUUUGUGAAAUUACUGGAUUACCUAUUUUUGAAGUAGUAAAGAAGAUCUCUUUGGAUUUGGGUUUGAUCUGAUUUCAAAUUUGUUUGCUUUGUUAGGGUUUUACGUGUUUAGGGUUUUGAAGCUUCAAGUGCACUGUCUAAUUGUUAGUUUUAUUUUUCUUUUUUUUUUCCCUAUUUUUUCUAUUGAGUGCUUGUAAUUAAUAGAGUGUGAAUUUAGGAGAGAGAAGUGUGAAGAGAUGAGAGAAUGCAAGGGUUUUUUGUUGGAUUGGAAGAUGAUUACUAUUAUUACUAUGGUAGCUGUGAGUGAGGGUUUUAUAUAGCUAAUAUUUUAUUAAUUAAGACAAUUUAUAAAUAAUAUAUAUAUAGAAAAACAAAAGGAGAAAGAAAAAAAAGAGUGGAAGAUGAAGCUUUCAACGUCAGGGUUGGGUCAGCAGGGUCAUGAAGGCGAGAAGAAAUGUUUAAAUUCGGAGCUAUGGCAUGCCUGCGCUGGACCACUCGUGUCCCUACCAACCAUGGGUAGCCGAGUGGUCUACUUCCCUCAGGGACAUAGCGAGCAGGUAGCUGCCACUACUAACAAAGAAGUUGAUGGGCACAUACCCAAUUACCCAAGCUUGCCGCCCCAGUUGAUAUGCCAACUCCACAAUGUCACUAUGCAUGCAGAUGUUGAAACAGAUGAAGUGUAUGCCCAGAUGACUUUACAGCCCUUGACUCCGCAAGAGCAGAAGGAUACAUUUCUUCCCAUGGAAUUGGGAAUGCCAAGCAAGCAGCCCACUAAUUAUUUUUGCAAGACAUUGACUGCCAGUGAUACUAGUACGCAUGGAGGUUUUUCUGUUCCCCGUCGUGCUGCAGAGAAAGUUUUUCCUCCCCUGGAUUUCUCGCAGCAGCCACCAGCGCAGGAACUUAUUGCAAGAGAUCUGCAUGAUGUUGAAUGGAAAUUUAGGCAUAUUUUUCGAGGACAGCCCAAACGGCAUCUGCUCACUACUGGGUGGAGUGUAUUUGUUAGUGCCAAAAGACUUGUGGCUGGAGAUUCUGUUCUUUUUAUCUGGAAUGAGAAAAAUCAGCUUCUUUUGGGAAUUCGUCGGGCUACUCGACCACAAACUGUGAUGCCAUCAUCCGUAUUAUCUAGUGAUAGUAUGCAUAUCGGACUUCUUGCUGCUGCAGCUCAUGCAGCAGCAACCAACAGCUGUUUUACAGUUUUCUAUAAUCCAAGGGCUAGUCCAUCUGAGUUUGUUAUACCCCUUUCCAAAUAUGUCAAAGCAGUAUUCCACACACGUGUUUCGGUUGGGAUGCGCUUCCGCAUGCUCUUUGAGACUGAAGAAUCAAGUGUCCGUAGGUAUUAUGGUAGUUGAUAGUUUACUAUGGCAUUCAUAGUUUAUCAUGUGGGAUCAUUUAUUAAUUUAUCAAGUCUUGUGUUUUUGUCAUUCAAUUGUUUAUGCUGCCUAAAUGUCAUCAUUAUUGAUAAAUCCUUUACUGAUAUGACGACAUCUAACUAAUUUAUUCUUUCUAUAAAAAAAAAAAUUGUAACUUAUUAUUUCAUUUUAAUAUAUCUUUAAUCUUUCAAUUAGCUAUAUCGAACUUGAGUCUUGGGAAAUUGAACUGUAUAAUGAAGAGAGAGUUUUCUUGUUUUCUUAUGUCAUGCUACUGAGGGUUAAAUGUAAUGCAUGUGUAUUUUUCUUUUGGAGCAUCAGCUGGGCUCUCAAGCUUUGGCGCCCAUGAAUCUGUGAAUAAGAUUUACUUAUCAGUAUUUGUUCGUGAGGAAACAAUGCAGUUAAUGGACAUUGGUAGAAACAUUGUUUUAUCUGCUGUGUGAUUUGGGUUGAUGAGUUCAUCAUUGGCUGUGAUAGCAUGGGACCAAAAUCGUUUGAAAUGCAUGCUGUGUAUGGUACCAUGAAGCUGCUGCCUCUACAUGAUAUAUUGUAUCAUGCCAUAUGCAUAUGUGCUGUUGUGUUGAUGCUGUAAACUUCCAUUGGCCAGGUAUAUGGGUACGAUAACUGGCAUAAGUGAUCUGGAUCCUGUUCGGUGGCCAAAUUCUCAUUGGCGUUCUGUCAAGGUUGGCUGGGAUGAGUCAACAGCCAGUGAGAGGCAACCAAGGGUAUCAUUAUGGGAGAUUGAGCCUUUAACAACUUUCCCCAUGUAUCCAUCACUGUUUCCCCUCAGACUCAGACGACCUUGGCAUCCUGGGCCCUCAUCUCUGCAUGGUAUUAUUCUUUAAUUUUUGUGGACCUUUUGGCAUCUUUUUCUUCAUAAAACUUGCUGGAUUCAUAGUAUGCUUUUAGGGAUAUGAAGACACAAUUGGAUUGUGUUGGUUAAAUGAUAAUUAUUUUAACUAUAAAGAAAGAAAGAAAAGGCAGUGGCAACUGGUGUGGAGGAAGAACAUAGCCAAGUAUUCCUUUGCUUUCAGAAUACUUUAGUCAGGUAUUGACUCAAACAUCUGGCAAAGUUGCAAUGAAACAUGAUUCUUUAAAGUAAUUGCAAAUCAUGAGUCUGAGAAUAUUAGUCAAAACUUUCAAUACACACCAAAAGACUAUCCUUCAAUUUGUUUUGGGACAAUUUGUUUUUGUUUUCUUUUCCAGUUUCUCUGUGGGUUUGUUCUUCUCAUGCUUUAGGGAGUGGAGGUAGGGGGAAUUCCUUGAGGUUUAUUCAACUUGAAUGGUGAACACUAGAAAUUGUGAUUUAUAUGCGUUCAUGGUUCAAGCCUCCUUUUGUUGUGGGGUUGAAUCAGUUUUUGUUUUGAGUUACUAGUUUUAUAUUUAUAAUACUGCAGGCAAUGAACAUUAUUUAUAUUUACAUAUUACUAGAUGUAAUAUGUAAAUGGAUUUUUUUUGUUUAUCCCACAGAAGGCUACAAGCGAAGUAAAUUAGCAUAAGAGGCCCAAUAUGGCAUUUAUUUUAAUUUUUUUUUUAUCAAUAUUCAGUUGAUUAUGCAGAAAAGUUCAAAAUACUCAUUUAGCUUAGAAAUGACUCCAUGGAUGAAAUGGCAUUUUAUCUUUCAAUUACAUAUAUUUAGCUUAUAUUUCUUUUUCUUUCAUGUGGUCUAAUCAUCUCUCUCCAAAAUGAAAGUAAAUAAAUUCUAAACCAUUUUUUUAAUUAUAUGCAUCUUUUCCUUUGUUUCCUUCAUCUUGCAAAAUAACCACUGAUUAAAUUGUUAUUCCAAGUUCCAACUACAAACUCCUGGCCACUUCUAAGCUUUCUGAUACCUGCUUAAAUGUAAAUUGCAAUUGGUGUUACUAAUGGCAUUGCAAACUGGUCUUUGGCGACAAGAGCAUUGUAUCUUUUGUUUUUUGCCAACUGACCUUUGAGCUGGUGUAUCCAUACCCCAACAUGAUAUUAGAGUUCCCCCUACCCCCACAAAAAAAAAAAUGUUGCUUCAGUUCCCGUGAAUUCCUUUCUCUUUAUUCAAUUGCAGACUCUUUUUGAUACAACAACAACUAAGAUUUAGUCUCAGACUAGUUGGCGAACUCUUUUUGAUAGUUUGAAGUAAAUUUAGAUUUGUUUUUUAAUAGGGGAAAAAGAAACCUGUGUAGGUACUAAUGUUUUACUGAGCUUGGGUAGUUAAUUUGCAAAUAUUUAAGCUGGUAGUGAAAGUGCUUCUUGGAUAAUGUCAGCAUAAGGUUCUCACUCCAUAUACAGUCCAAACUUUUUGUAGCUCUAGGAGUUUGACAAUUUUGUCCACUAUGCAUGCCCUCUCUCUGAACAGCCCUUUCACUCUUCGCCUCUCCUUAAAUUCUGACUGUUUCUUUAAUCCUAAACCUCAUCCUUUUGCAGAUAACAGAGAUGAAGCUGGCAAUGGCUUAAUGUGGCUAAGGGGUGGAACAAGUGAGCAGGGUCUUCACUCUCUGAAUUUUCAAGCUGUUAAUAUGCUUCCAUGGACACAGCCGAGACUGGAUCCUGCAUUGCUGGGGAAUGAUCAGAACCAGUGGUACCAGGCUAUGUUGGCUACUGGUUUACAGAAUCUGGGAAGUGGAGAUCCCCUGAGACAGCAAUUUAUGCAGUUUCAGCAGCCUUUUCAAUAUCUUCAACAGUCAAGCAACCAUUAUCCACUGUUGCAGCUACAGCAGCAGCAUCAAGCAAUUCAACAAUCAACCUCUCAUAAUAUACUGCAGGCACAAAAUCAGAUUUCAACUGAAAGCUUGCCCCGGCAUUUAUUGCAGCAACAACUCAACAAUCAAACAGAUGAUCAUACACAGCAACAGCAUAAGCAACAACAACAGCAACAUAGUUACCAUGAUGUGCUUCAGAUUCAAGGUGAACAACUCCAGAGACAGCAGCCAAAUGUACCUUCUCCAUCAUUUUCAAAAACUGAUUUCAUGGACUCAAACACCAAGUACUCGGCAUCUACUACCCCUAUACAGAACAUGCUGGGUUCUAUGUGUGCUGAAGGGAGUGGUAACCUUUUGGACUUCACCAGAACUGGUCAAUCAACACUAACUACACUAACUGAGCAGUUGCCUCAACAGUCUUGGGUCCCAAAAUAUGCACAUUCACAGGUCAAUGCUUAUACCAAUUCUCUGUCACUUCCUCGUCCAUAUCCUGAGAAAGAUCCUGCUAUGGAGCCAGAAAGUUGCAACUUGGAUGCUCAAAAUCAUACCAAUUUUGGUGUGAACAUCGAUUCAUCUGGACUCUUACUGCCUACCACACUGCCCAGAUAUGCCUCUUCGACAGUUGAUGCUGAUGUGUCCUCAAUGCCAUUGGGGGAUUCUGGGUUUCAGAAUUCUAUAUAUGGUGGUGUGCAAGACUCUUCUGAAUUAUUGCCGAGUGCAGGGCAAGUUGACCCGCCAACCCCAAGUCGAACAUUUGUCAAGGUCUAUAAGUCAGGGUCGGUUGGGCGCUCACUGGACAUCUCCCGGUUCAGCAGCUACCAUGAGCUGCGAGAGGAACUGGCUCAGAUGUUUGGCAUCGAGGGGAAGUUAGAAAACCCUCGUAGAUCAGGCUGGCAGCUUGUAUUUGUCGACAGGGAGAAUGAUAUACUUCUCCUUGGAGAUGACCCAUGGGAGGCGUUUGUGAAUAAUGUUUGGUAUAUCAAGAUACUUUCUCCAGGGGAUGUACAAAAGAUGGGGGAGCAGGGGGUGGAGUCCUUCGGCCCAAAUGUAGGUUGAAGGAUUGAGUAACGAUGGGGCUAGAGACCUUGUCUGCAGCUCUGCAGAAUGCGGCCGAUUGAGAGCUGUAUGCUGUAUGACAUCCUUCCACGUAUUGACAUGAAAUUCUCGCUCUCUAGGGCCGAGAUAAGAUUUAUUAGUUUUCCACUCUAGUGUGUGUACUACGUUUUUGUUCCUAUGCAUCAUCUCUUGAAAAUUUAUUAUAUACCACCUGUUUUCCUAGACUAACUAGUUCUGAUGAAUUUGACUUUGGUUGUGGUGGAUAAAAUACGUGUAAAUUCACCACAGGCACUUAAAAAAAGUUUAGAAUUUCAGAAAGUUCUAGCAUAUCGGAAUUCGUGUGAGCAGUCUAUAGCAUCUUUGCUGUUAUGAAAAAAAAAAAAAAAAUUCAAUUUCAUAUAUUCCAGUAGUAGAAUAAGACAUGCAAGGAAUAAUUUCUCAAUUGAUACAGAGGCUCACAGUUAAACUUCAAAGAUCAUGCUAUGAAAUAUAAGAAUUCAAUUUUAUGAUGCAUAUGAGAGAGAUAUGCCUUGGACAACAACAACAACAUCUUAUAGAUUAACAGGAACCAAUUGAAUCUCCAAGAAUAAUGUGAUACGCAAUAGUGAAGAAAACCAUUAAAUUUCAGCUUAAGAGAGCAUGUGAUGAUGAAAAGAAGUUCAGGCAGGUCCACUUUGCACCGCCAAGGUGCUUUUCUAAUUAUACCUGCGGGAAGAUAAUAACAAAACGAUAAUGGUACUAUUAUUAUCACAUUACCUGAGCAGGGCGAGGCCUAGGAGUUGACUGUGCAGCAAUAUACUGUAAAAUCUCAAAAACUCUCGUCUGACCAUAGCUUGCAGCCCUU
rnacentral:misc_RNA from 1 species